rnacentral:misc_RNA from 1 species
GGACUACUGGGGUAUCUAAUCCUGUUUGCUCCCCACGCUUUCGAGCCUCAACGUCAGUGAUCGUCCAGUAAGCCGCCUUCGCCACUGGUGUUCCUCCUAAUAUCUACGCAUUUCACCGCUACACUAGGAAUUCCGCUUACCUCUCCGACACUCUAGUUACAUAGUUUCCAAUGCAGUCCCGGGGUUGAGCCCCGGGCUUUCACAUCAGACUUACACAACCGUCUACGCUCCCUUUACACCCAGUAAAUCCGGAUAACGCUUGCACCAUACGUAUUACCGCGGCUGCUGGCACGUAUUUAGCCGGUGCUUCUUAGUCAGGUACCGUCAUUUUCUUCCCUGCUGAUAGAGCUUUACAUACCGAAAUACUUCUUCGCUCACGCGGCGUCGCUGCAUCAGGGUU